UACGAAGGGGACUAGCGUUGUCCGGAUUUACUGGGCGUAAAGAGCGCGCAGGCGGUCGAUCAAGUCGAGUGUGAAAGCCCCCGGCUCAACUGGGGAGGGUCAUUCGAUACUGAUCGACUCGAAGGCAGGAGAGGGUAGUGGAAUUCCCGGUGUAGUGGUGAAAUGCGUAGAUAUCGGGAGGAACACCAGUGGCGAAAGCGGCUCACUGGACCAUAACUGACGCUGAGGUGCGAAAGCUAGGGGAGCAAACGGG
rnacentral:rRNA from 1 species